UAAAUAACCACGUCGAAUUAACAAGUAUAUUUUUGCCCUAAAUUGUACUUUUCACUUCGUAUUACCCGUCUUUGUUGUUCCACUCACCGGCCAUGGAAUCCGAGUCUCUGCAACGACGCCGUUCAAGCAGUGCCACCUGCAACAAUGCGCCUGUCAGAGAGAAGAGGCCGAAACGCAGCGAGGUACUUGCCAAGAAGAAAACCGUUGAAGAACUCAUCAAAGCGGCCCGUGCUCAAAAGGACCACCUCGCUCCUUUUCCAGCGUUUCGCCAUUUCCACGCAAAGGGUCUCUCUUUGUGUUUGAAGUCAGGACAUGGCAAUAAACUUUCCUCGACUGUUAAGACUUAUAUUCAGAGUCUCCUUAAGCUAAACAUGGAAGGACCAUAUGGAUCUGAGUGGCCAGAGGAAGAAAAGGUAAAGCGCAGAGAAAUGGUUGAUCAUGAAGCACAUUAUGUAUUUGUGCAUGAGGUUGCCAAUUCAAAUGCUGAUGAGAUGACAACAAUCCUUACUGCAGCAGAGACUUCAACUUGCUGUCUGAAGAAUAGUGGUCCCUUGGUUGGAUUUGUACAGUACCGCUUUGUGUUAGAAGAAGAGAUACCGGUGCUUUAUGUGUAUGAAUUACAGCUUGAGCCUCGUGUUCAGGGGAAGGGACUGGGGAAGUUUUUAAUGCAACUUCUAGAGUUUAUGGCACAAAAGAACUGUAUGGGUGCUGUCAUGCUGACUGUUCAAAAGGCAAAUGUAUUAGCCGUGGAUUUCUAUAUAAGUAAGCUUAGAUACAUCAUAUCAGCUACUUCACCUUCAAAAGUCAACCCAAUGAUGAACAAGAGUUAUGAAAUUCUUUGCAAAGUAUUUAAUGAUGAAGCCAAUACUGUUUUUGGAGAUAGAGAAGAUGAAUAGGUGCGCAGUUAGAGAAGGAUGGCUGAAGUUGUUAGUCCCAUUCUCUUUACUGGACCACCAAAUGGUGUAUGACAGGGCUGCUUGUUAUGUUAGAGGAAAAAACAUGAUUCUGUUGGAUAAUGUUCUUUUUAUCUUAGCCCCUUUUUCUAGUACUUUUGGUUGUAUGUGGCAGAUUAUAUUAGUGGGAAUGUAACACGACAGAAUCCAUUCAUCAUGAAUGUCAGGCACUUUGCUUCUGCUUUGUGCAUUGUACAUUUCAUAGCAAAUCUCAGCUCUUAAACACUGUAAUAGAAAUUUAGGAGCCCUUUAAUGUGCCAGACCUUUUCAUGCGAGCUAAGAUGCAUUGUAUAUUUGAUGCCCCACUUUUCAUGAAAACGUUAUCCAAUGUUCCACUGCAUCUUCAGUUAGGACAACUUUAUCUUUGUGUGCUUACAUUAUCUCGUAUGUAUUUAUGACAACUUUAAAUCAA